rnacentral:rRNA from 1 species
UGGGGAAUAUUGGACAAUGGGGGGAACCCUGAUCCAGCGAUGCCGCGUGUGUGAAGAAGGCCUGCGGGUUGUAAAGCACUUUCAGUGGGAAAGAGAAGCGUCUUGUGAAUAAUGGGACGUGGAGACGUUACUCACAGAAGAAGCACCGGCUAACUCUGUGCCAGCAGCCGCGGUAAUACAGAGGGUGCGAGCGUUAAUCGGAGUAACUGGGCGUAAAGGGCACGUAGGCGGUUAUAUUAGUCUGAUGUGAAAGACCUGGGCUUAACCUGGGAUGUGCAUUGGAAACGGUAUAGCUAGAGUUUGGGAGAGGGAAGUGGAAUUUCCGGUGUAGCGGUGAAAUGCGUAGAGAUCGGAAAGAACACUCGUGGCGAAGGCGGCUUUCUGGCCCAAAACUGACGCUGAGGUGCGAAAGCGUGGGGAGCAAACAGG